UAUUACUGAUCACAUUUUUCUUUUUUAUGGCAGAGAGGUGAAAGGACUGUGUGAGAGAUAGAGACAGAGGCAGAUUGCAUGGUUUAUGUACAAAAACAAGAACAACCUCUCUCUCUCUAUCAGUCUUCUUCUCUAUUGAUAGAUUCACUUCAUACCAAUUUCUCUCUGCAUUGCGCGCCCUCGCACAAAUAAAUAAAUAAAAAAAAAGCUCAACCACAUGUCAUGUUUCUCUCACUAACUGGUACACCAUGCACAGUGGUGAUCAUCAAACAAGCUUCCACGAAAUGGGUGCAUGAUAUUUUCUGGAAUGUAUUAGAGGGAAGUGGCGCGUGUUGAUCACGCUCCGAGGGUACUUGGUGACUAUUUUGGGUUAGUUUCUGUAGGGUUUGGAGAACAUAACUCAGGGUUCGAUGCAGGGAGCGUAUCUAGUAUAGGUUGGCAUGACAUGGCAUGCAAUUGUACUGAUCAAAGAUCUGAUUAGAGGUUUUGCAUGCAUGCCAUUGCCAUAGAUUCAUGUAUUAUUAAUAUUAUAUUAUAUAUAUAUAUAUAUAUAUACACACACACAUAGAGAGAGGAGAGAGAGAUAUUAUGCAAG
rnacentral:lncRNA from 1 species